GGAGACCCUUUCUCCUUUCUCAGCUUGCCACUCAGGUGAAGAAGAUGACCUUCCCAGAGAGAGGAAGUACAGACUCCUUCAUGUCAUGACUGGCUUGUAAAAAUAAACAUGAUCUUUUUCCACUGGCCAUACACGUUCCAUAAAUAGCCCAGGGAGAAAGUACGGGGCUACAUAACUGUCCAGAGUGGCCUUAGACUGCUUCCAUUCAUAAACCCCACUGUAAGUGCUCACAGUCAGAAAACCACGUAGCCUAAUCUGAUGGGCAACUUUAUAUAUGGGGGAACUAUUGCUAAGAAUAUCAAACUGGUAAGUUUUUCUGAUUGAGUGAUGGGUCUGAGGGGCUGACAGCAACAAGCCAGGGGUUUUAACCUUCCACUCCCCCAGCUAGUAUAUCUGCUCAAAGCUAUAGUCGACAGGUAUGGUUGAAGUUGCUUUUUAAGGGUUUUAUCAUUGGCUGAAGGUGACAGAAUUCAGUCUUCAAACUGAUAGUGAAAGCAGGGACAGCUGUGUGCUCAGCUGUGUCUAUUACUCUGCAGGACUAUGUUGCAUGGUCAAGUAUACAGAUGCUGAUUGGAUAUAUUGUGUGUAAUCAUGGAUAAGAUAUCCUUUAAUUGAAUACAUCUAUUCAGUUUUAAAAUAGAUCAAAAUAAGAGACGGGAACCUUUAAAAUUAGAUUAUAGGAUCUUAAAAUGUCACCAGCCACCGAGAUGAUUUCUGUCACCUUGUUCUUUAUCCAUUAAGUUUGCCAUUGCUGAUUGACUCCGUUAGGCUCCUUUGGCUGAUGCCUACCUAGUCUUCAAUGUGAUCUUCCUAGUGCUUACUGAACAUUUACUCUACGUAAGGCACUAAGCAACGAUCCAUGUAUCCAUCCACGUAAUUGCCUUUUGGUCUUACAGCAGAGCAGAGUAGAAGUUUGAGUUUUUUCUCCUGUUGGUAUAAGAUCAGUCUCGCACAGUAAUAGACCCACAGCGUUUUACUUUUCUCCUUAGCUUAAAGCUUUUUUUAAAAUUUAAUUUACAAUUCAGGUAUAAGAAGAGUGUGUCUAUGAACAGAGUUUAAUGUUUUAUCAUCAUGGUAAUGACAGUAGUAACGAUGAACUGCUGGAAGGUUAUGGCGUCCACAUCAUUUCGAAGAGUGGUUUGCUCAGAGUGCCUACAACAGACAGUGUAGUGAAGUCAAAGCAAGAUUCCACUCAGGCAGGUGUUUGGAGAGUUUAGCUUAUGCUUAACUCUCCAAAAAUCUUCUGGCCUUUGCCUGCCCUCUUCUUAGAUCCUUCCAUUAUAACGAGAGAGAGAGAGAAUUGGAUUCAGACAGCCAACGUGGAACAGCUGCUCAACUCCGGACAGUGUUACCUGAUUUUAAGUUCUGUCCCUAGAAAAGCUUUCGGACUCUGAGGGUGUCCGUGCUCAAACAGGUGGCAAGGGAUUCUAUUUGGCAUCCUAACACCACCCUGCAGCUUUUGACGGCAGCUCUGCGUGCCGUGGGAUAUUUUGAGUAGUACAUUUAUCCUGUGGCUUAAUUUGUUUCCAUAAAAUUAGGGCAUAGGUCAAAAAGGCAUUAGAGGCUAAUUGUGAAGGACAUUUUAAGUCAUUUUCUUAAAGGAUUGUCAGCAUUUGUUGACAUGUACUGCCAGACAAAAGCAAAGGAGCCUAGACCCCUGGGAAAGGAAGCCCCAGAUGGCUGAAACCGGCAUUGUAGCCAUUCCUUUAGGAGGGGCCACAGGCCUUCCUACUGAAGUGUUGAGGUCUUUGAUAUUGUCAAUAAUUUUUUUCUUAAUUACAAAAUGACUAUCAGUACUUAGUAAUCAAAAAAACCUAACAUAAAUUCCUGUUACUUCUCAGAGAACAAAUGUAUUGCAUUUCUAGUUUGUGGAUUUCUCACGAAUUUGUAGGGUUUUUUUUUUUCUUUUCUUUCCUUUUCUCUUUCUUUCCUUUCCUUUUCUUUUCUUUUACUUUAUUUUAUUUUUUGUGGUAGCUUCUUACACAGUCUGUGAGCAAGCUUCAGAACUGGCUAGUUAAGUUAUAGGUGGGGACCCCAAGUGCUCACUUAGCUAGUCAUAGUGGCAGGGUGGGACACACACCUGUAUGCAACAACCCGCAGUUACUAUUUGGUGCAGGAGGAGAGCAGCCCCUUCUUUAAGCUUUUAGAAGUACCUGUCCCCCACCCUGUGUUAAGCUUCGGAAUGUAACAGAGACGCUUUAAUGCUUUUUGUUCCAAACAUGACAUUUCCCAAGGAAAUAUCUUGAGUGUACAAUUCCAUUCUCGAAUGUGGAAAAGUGGCAGGCCACCUUCCCCACGCCUUACAGUUCCACCCCAAAUAUGCAGUAAGCACGCGCAGUGAAGGCCGGGUCGGGAGGAGCCUUCGGAUGGUUAUUUAGCCGUGCAGUAAAGACCCUGCUUCUCCUGGCUCACCACCACUCCGAGGUGGGCAGGACACCACGGCAGUGAACCCUGCUUCUGGGUGAAGUACAGGGACACACUUCGCUUCUUUCACUUCUUCUUUUGGUUCCAUCUCUAUUUAAAAAGUAUAGUCUUUUUUUUUUUAACUUGCUGGAUGUGGAAAAAAAUGCAUGGUAAAAAAAAAAUUUAAAGACAUAUUUUAAUUUUAUAUUUCAAAGGUUUGUAAUAGCAGUUUGUUUGUUAAAAACAGGCCUUAGCACAUGGAUGAGAACCAGGGCUUUUUCAAAAGCCUCAUCUUUGAGCUCUUACCCAAAUGAUAAAGACCUCUUGGAUCUUUCAAACUGUAAAUAUUGUGUAGU
rnacentral:lncRNA from 1 species